rnacentral:rRNA from 2 species
UGGGGAAUAUUGCGCAAUGGACGAAAGUCUGACGCAGCAACGCCGCGUGAGGGAUGACGGCCUUCGGGUUGUAAACCUCUUUCAGCAGGGACGAAGCGAGAGUGACGGUACCUGCAGAAGAAGGACCGGCCAACUACGUGCCAGCAGCCGCGGUAAUACGUAGGGUCCGAGCGUUGUCCGGAAUUAUUGGGCGUAAAGGGCUCGUAGGCGGUUCGUCACGUCGGGAGUGAAAACUCGGAGCUUAACUCCGAGCCUGCUUCCGAUACGGGCAGACUAGAGGUAGGCAGGGGAGAGCGGAACUCCUGGUGUAGCGGUGGAAUGCGCAGAUAUCAGGAAGAACACCGGUGGCGAAGGCGGCUCUCUGGGCCUUACCUGACGCUGAGGAGCGAAAGCGUGGGUAGCGAACA